AUUGAACGCUGGCGGCAUGCCUUACACAUGCAAGUCGAACGGCAGCACGGGUGCUUGCACCUGGUGGCGAGUGGCGAACGGGUGAGUAAUACAUCGGAACGUGCCCAGUCGUGGGGGAUAACGUAGCGAAAGCUACGCUAAUACCGCAUACGAUCUACGGAUGAAAGCGGGGGAUCGCAAGACCUCGCGCGAUUGGAGCGGCCGAUGGCAGAUUAGGUAGUUGGUGGGGUAAAGGCUCACCAAGCCGACGAUCUGUAGCUGGUCUGAGAGGAUGAUCAGCCACACUGGGACUGAGACACGGCCCAGACUCCUACGGGAGGCAGCAGUGGGGAAUUUUGGACAAUGGGCGCAAGCCUGAUCCAGCCAUUCCGCGUGCAGGACGAAGGCCUUCGGGUUGUAAACUGCUUUUGUACGGAACGAAAAGGCUCUGGUUAAUACCUGGGGCUCAUGACGGUACCGUAAGAAUAAGCACCGGCUAACUACGUG
rnacentral:rRNA from 1 species